rnacentral:rRNA from 1 species
CAGCCGCCACGGUAAUACGGAGGGAGCUAGCGUUGUUCGGAAUUACUGGGCGUAAAGCGCACGUAGGCGGUUAUUCAAGUCAGAGGUGAAAGCCCGGGGCUCAACCCCGGAACUGCCUUUGAAACUAGAUGACUGGAAUCUUGGAGAUGUCAGUGGAAUUCCGAGUGUAGAGGUGAAAUUCGUAGAUAUUCGGAAGAACACCAGUGGCGAAGGCGACUGACUGGACAAGUAUUGACGCUGAGGUGCGAAAGCGUGGGUAGCAAACAGGAUUAGAUACCCGCGUAGUCCCUGUCUCUUAUAC